rnacentral:sRNA from 1 species
UACCUAUAAAGCGGGUUUGGCGAAACAUCAACAAUCUCACCAUACCAAUGAAGAAUUAUUAACUAAAUGAUGUUGCUAUAAUUGCAGGAGAUACGUUGCCCUUUCCUAUGACUACACCAAUGUCAUACAUCAACAACAAUGACACUGCCAAUGACUGUGAGCGAAGUAAGGACACGCGUUAGCUGUUGUCGGUCUUCGGUGAACCAAUAGAUGUUAAUAUCAGAGCAUUUGUAGUUGUUACUGGACGAAAUGGAAUUGUGAUUACAGAUUUGAAUGUUGUCUUCUACAUUGGGUAAGGGAGAGAAGAUGAAUAGUAUGUACGAUCUUCAGAAAAUUGGAUUGGUGCAGUCAAUUGGAUUCAAGGGCAAUGAAAUGCUCGUUGAAGGUAAAAUCUUAAAAAAUAAUAAAAUAUUUAAGCGGUUCGUAGAUUGGAGAAUUAUUUAUUCAGAAGUCAUCUGUUGACUUUUUUGGUUUAAAUGAUGAGCUGAAUUCGGGCUAUAUUACAAUAUUUCUAUCAGGCUUAGCUCUGGAGUGAGUUUGGAAAUUUCCUUCUAAUCUAAUAAAACGGCUAAUGUACUUACUACUG